GACGAACGCUGGCGGCGUGCUUAACACAUGCAAGUCGAACGGAAAGGCCCUGCUUUUGUGGGGUGCUCGCGUGGCGAACGUGUGAGUAACACGUGAGUAACCUGCCCUUGACUUUGGGAUAACUUCAGGAAACUGGGGCUAAUACCUGAUAGGAGCUCCUGCUGCAUGGUGGGGGUUGGAACGUUUCGGCGGUUGGGGAUGGACUCGCGGCUUAUCAGCUUGUUGGUGGGGUAGUGGCUUACCAAGGCUUUGACGGGUAGCCGGCCUGAGAGGGUGACCGGCCACAAUGGGACUGAGAUACGGCCCAGACUCCUACGGGAGGCAGCAGUGGGGAAUAUUGCACAAUGGGCGGAAGCCUGAUGCAGCAACGCCGCGUGCGGGAUGACGGCCUUCGGGUUGUAAACCGCUUUCGCCUGUGACGAAGCGUGAGUGACGGUAAUGGGUAAAGAAGCACCGGCUAACUACGUG
rnacentral:rRNA from 1 species